rnacentral:rRNA from 1 species
UACGGAGGGUGCAAACGUUAAUCGGAAUCACUGGGCGUAAAGCGCACGUAGGCGGUUCGUUAAGUGGGAUGUGAAAGCCCUGGGCUCAACCUGGGAAUUGCGUUUCAAACUGGCGGACUAGAGUACGAUAGAGGGAGGUAGAAUUUCGUGUGUAGCGGUGAAAUGCGUAGAUAUAGGAAGGAAUACCUGUGGCGAAGGCGGCCUCCUGGAUCGAUACUGACGCGGAGGUGAGAAAGCGUGGGGAGCAAACAGG